UACGUAGGGGGCAAGCGUUAUCCGGAUUUACUGGGUGUAAAGGGGGCGCAGACGGCGAUGCAAGCCAGGAGUGAAAGCCCGGGGCCCAACCCCGGGACUGCUUUGGAAACUGCCAUGCUAGAGUGCUGGAGAGGUAAGCGGAAUUCCUAGUGUAGCGGUGAAAUGCGUAGAUAUUAGGAGGAACACCAGUGGCGAAGGCGGAUGACUGGACGGCAACUGACGGUGAGGCGCGAAAGCGUGGGGAGCAAACAGG
rnacentral:rRNA from 1 species